UCCUGGUUAGCUCAGUUAGUAGAGCGCUCCACUGAAUAUGGAUAGGUCCCUGGUUGGAUACCAGGACCAGGCG
rfam:Ixodes scapularis strain Wikel colony gcontig_1108379672812, whole genome shotgun sequence.